AGCAGCAGCCCGGUAAUACGAACCGUCCGAACGUUAUUCGGAAUCACUGGGCUUAAAGCGCGCGUAGGCGGCGUGGCACGUCGGACGUUGAAAUCCCCCAGCUUAACCUUGGGGCUGCGUUCGAGACGGGUAUUCUAGAGUGGAGAAGAGGGUCGUGGAAUUCCCAGUGUAGAGGUGAAAUUCGUAGAUAUUGGGAAGAACACCGGUGGCGAAGGCGGCGACCUGGUCUUUUACUGACGCUGAGGCGCGAAAGCGUGGGGAGCAAACAGGAUUAGAUACCCGGGUAGUCCCUGUCUCUUAUAA
rnacentral:rRNA from 1 species